GAUGAACGCUGGCGGCGUGCCUAAUACAUGCAAGUCGAGCGAACAGAUAAGGAGCUUGCUCCUUUGACGUUAGCGGCGGACGGGUGAGUAACACGUGGGUAACCUAACUAUAAGACUGGAAUAACUCCGGGAAACCGGGGCUAAUGCCGGAUAACAUUUAGAACCGCAUGGUUCUAAAGUGAAAGAUGGUUUUGCUAUCACUUAUAGAUGGACCCGCGCCGUAUUAGCUAGUUGGUAAGGUAACGGCUUACCAAGGCAACGAUACGUAGCCGACCUGAGAGGGUGAUCGGCCACACUGGAACUGAGACACGGUCCAGACUCCUAAGGGAGGCAGCAGUAGGGAAUCUUCCGCAAUGGGCGAAAGCCUGACGGAGCAACGCCGCGUGAGUGAUGAAGGUCUUCGGAUCGUAAAACUCUGUUAUUAGGUAAGAACAAAUGUGUAAGUAACUGUGCACGUCUUGACGGUACCUAAUCAGAAAGGCACGGCUAGCUACGUG
rnacentral:rRNA from 1 species